CUCCAUGCAAGCAGUCAUUAUUGGGAAUGGCGAGCAAGCUGGGGCUGGCGGGACCAGCAGGAGUAGUAAUGCCAGAUUGGUUUUCCCAGGUGCCUGACCCUCCUCCAGAAUCAGUUCUCCUCCCUGCCCACUGGGGACUCCCAGCACCUCUGAGCUGAUGGGCACCAUGGAGCUUGGUGAUCCCCUGUGCUCUGAUAGGCUGAGGAGGGCCAGGCAUCGGUCUGCUGAGGGGCAGAAGCCAUGUGAAAAGAUUCUUUCAGAAGGCACGGUUUGUGUCCACACCCAGGAGUAAUUGCCACUGACGUGAGCAAAGCACUGUGUAAUUUCAAGGUGUUUUCUCUCCUGUUUUCCUGUGCAGUCUUCUCAGUAUCACUAGAAGCCCAUGAGUCACUCUCUUCAGUAGGUAAGGAAAUUGAGCCCCAGAGAGGCCAAAAGGAUUGUGCAGCCUCUGCAUUAAUUGAGCUCUUACUGUAUACCAGGCUCACAACAGCCCUAUGAAAUAGGCACUAUUAUUAUCCUGAUUGUACAGGAGAAACCAGGGCUCAGAAAGGUGAAGUAACUUGUAUAAGGUGACUCAGCUAGUGAGUCACCAAGAGAGGACUGGAACCCAGGGCCCAUGCUUCAGGAGGGGGAUACAGGGUCAUCUGACCCCAGGCCCAGGUUCAGUCCCAGCUGCAGUCUCUGUCCUUCAGCCUUAAAGGUCCUUUGUUGGUUUUUUGGUUUGAGGCUCUGUUCGCUCUGAUAGUCAUUGUGUAAGGAUUUAGAAGGGGGGCAGGGCUUGGAUGUGGUCAGCUAAGGCCUGGGGCUGUCCUCUGUUGGGAAGCAGGGAGCAUGGGAGCCCUCAGCCAAGGCUCCAGGUCCAUUUUAAUAAGUGAUGUAUUAAAACAUUCCUGCUGGAGGCCACCCCACCAGUGCCAGCGGAAUGCCGGAUCCUCUGCUUGGGAAGACAGAGUCCUCCUUUCUCAAGGACUCCAUUCAGCAAAAGGAACACAAAUCUUUUAAAUACACUAUAGCAUCAGUAGCCGUGAUAGUAGCAGCAGCAGCAGCAGUCUUGAUGAGCCUCCCAGUGUGCCAGCAUCGCACAGUGGAAAACAACACCUCCCUUGGCCACCCACUUCCCAGCUGCCGAUAUAACACCAUUGUCACUGCCACUAGGGUGGGUGUCUUCGCCUGUGUGCCUCCUCACAUGUGGAUGGUACAGCUGCAAAAACUGCUGGGAGAAGAGAUUUGGAAUCCGAUCUCACUUUAUUCUGACAUCUAAGACCUUGGAAGAACUGAGACCCCAGCAGGACCAAGGUUCUGGCCAGGCUUGGACUGUGACAAGCGGUGCACUGGUUGUGAUGAGACCUGGGUUCCAGUCCUAAUACUUCCACCGAUUUGGGAGGGGUCCUUGUACUUCUCUGGGCCUUAAUUCCCCACCCAAAGCUGGGCAGUGGCCUUUCAGAGCCAGUGUAGAGUUCACAUGCAUGUGGAUGCCCCAUUGGACAUUUGCUUCCUCCUCCCUUAUACCUUCGGAAUGUCCAGAAAGCCAUCUCCUUAUUCACUGGUUCGGAGUGUUAUAGAUUGUUAAGCAUCUUCACAAGCAUAGUCUCAUUUGAGCCCCGCCACAAAGCUGUGAGGUUGGCAUGACCACCAUCCUGUGUCAAAUGGUAAAUAGAGUUCAGAGAGUGGAAGGAGCUUGCUUCAAGUCAUGCGAUCUUUGGGACACUCUUGUAAUCCCUUAAUUUUUAACCUACAAAUAAAAACAUAUAUGAUGCUAAACAUUGGAAUUAAGAGACAGCUCAGAAAUCAUCCUACCCUAUCCACUUGUUCGACUGAGAUGGAGCUGAGGCCCUAGGAGUCCUCUUUCUCCCAGACUGCACAAUGACCAGUGGCAGAGCUGGCACCAGGGCCAAGUCUGCAGUUCAUUCAAUGACUCUUGAUUGGGUGUUUUUCAAAUGUCAUAUUAUGAAAUUUAAGACAAAAACCUAAACCACUUACAGGUAGGCAAAUACUGCAUACGCUUGUGGACAUUAGGUGCCCUGCUUCUCAUGGUCUGUUUGCAGGAGGAGAGCAGAGCUCUAACAGAGAUGACUGGGCUUGUCUCACCUUGUAACUCAUGAGCUGUGGAUGUUCACGGUGGAGAUGGGUUCGUGCACUUAUUUUCCUAUCACAGUGGCAUAGGCAGCCUAGGGAGGAGGUAAGGCUGGGGAGCAGAGACAAAGAAAUGUGUGUGUUC
rnacentral:lncRNA from 1 species